rnacentral:rRNA from 1 species
CUCCUAAAGAGUAACGGAGGAGCACGAAGGUUGGCUAAUCCUGGUCGGACAUCAGGAGGUUAGUGCAAUGGCAUAAGCCAGCUUGACUGCGAGCGUGACGGCGCGAGCAGGUGCGAAAGCAGGUCAUAGUGAUCCGGUGGUUCUGAAUGGAAGGGCCAUCGCUCAACGGAUAAAAGGUACUCCGGGGAUAACAGGCUGAUACCGCCCAAGAGUUCAUAUCGACGGCGGUGUUUGGCACCUCGAUGUCGGCUCAUCACAUCCUGGGGCUGAAGUAGGUCCCAAGGGUAUGGCUGUUCGCCAUUUAAAGUGGUACGCGAGCUGGGUUUAGAACGUCGUGAGACAGUUCGGUCCCUAUCUGCCGUGGGCGCUGGAGAACUGAGGGGGGCUGCUCCUAGUACGAGAGGACCGGAGUGGACGCAUCACUGGUGUUCGGGUUGUCAUGCCAAUGGCACUGCCCGGUAGCUAAAUGCGGAAGAGAUAAGUGCUGAAAGCAUCUAAGCACGAAACUUGCCCCG